rnacentral:rRNA from 1 species
GGGUUGUGAGGUUAAGCGACUAAGCGUACACGGUGGAUGCCCUGGCAGUCAGAGGCGAUGAAGGACGUGCUAAUCUGCGAUAAGCGCCGGUAAGGUGAUAUGAACCGUUAUAACCGGCGAUUUCCGAAUGGGGAAACCCAGUGUGACUCGUCACACUAUCAUUAACUGAAUCCAUAGGUUAAUGAGGCGAACCGGGGGAACUGAAACAUCUAAGUACCCCGAGGAAAAGAAAUCAACCGAGAUUCCCCCAGUAGCGGCGAGCGAACGGGGAGGAGCCCAGAGCCUGAAUCAGCAUGUGUGUUAGUGGAAGCGUCUGGAAAGGCGCGCGAUACAGGGUGACAGCCCCGUACACAAAAGCGCAUGUGCUGUGAGCUCGAUGAGUAGGGCGGGACACGUGGUAUCCUGUCUGAAUAUGGGGGGACCAUCCUCCAAGGCUAAAUACUCCUGACUGACCGAUAGUGAACCAGUACCGUGAGGGAAAGGCGAAAAGAACCCCGGCGAGGGGAGUGAAAAAGAACCUGAAACCGUGUACGUACAAGCAGUGGGAGCACAGGUUUACCUGUGUGACUGCGUACCUUUUGUAUAAUGGGUCAGCGACUUAUAUUCUGUAGCAAGGUUAACCGAAUAGGGGAGCCGGAGGGAAACCGAGUCUUAAUUGGGCGUUAAGUUGCAGGGUAUAGACCCGAAACCCGGUGAUCUAGCCAUGGGCAGGUUGAAGGUUGGGUAACACUAACUGGAGGACCGAACCGACUAAUGUUGAAAAAUUAGCGGAUGACCUGUGGCUGGGGGUGAAAGGCCAAUCAAACCGGGAGAUAGCUGGUUCUCCCCGAAAGCUAUUUAGGUAGCGCCUCGUGAAUUCAUCUCCGGGGGUAGAGCACUGUUUCGGCUAGGGGGCCAUCCCGGCUUACCAACCCGAUGCAAACUGCGAAUACCGGAGAAUGUUAUCACGGGAGACACACGGCGGGUGCUAACGUCCGUCGUGAAGAGGGAAACAACCCAGACCGCCAGCUAAGGUCCCAAAGUCAUGGUUAAGUGGGAAACGAUGUGGGAAGGCCCAGACAGCCAGGAUGUUGGCUUAGAAGCAGCCAUCAUUUAAAGAAAGCGUAAUAGCUCACUGGUCGAGUCGGCCUGCGCGGAAGAUGUAACGGGGCUAAACCAUGCACCGAAGCUGCGGCAGCGACACUCAGGUGUUGUUGGGUAGGGGAGCGUUCUGUAAGCCUGCGAAGGUGGCCUGUGAGGG